CCCAGGCCCGCCCACAUCCGGCUUUUCCUUUGGCCGGGUCAGCCAUCUUUGCUGAGGGCAGCUGUGGUGUGUGUUUGAGACACGACUCAGGUGCUGUGCGGGCCACCGUCCGACUGCUCAUCACGGGGCCAUUGGCUGAGAGGGCAGUCUGGCUCCGGGCCCCACUUCCGGGCGCGGCUUGAGGGUCCCCUAUACCUCUUCUUCGCAGUGAAGUUUCUUCAGCGCCUCAGAGACUGCAUUGCUUCCUCUGCCUCGGCCCCGGCUCCCAUUCGCCUCCUCCCUAUACUGAUGGCCCAUCGGGCGUCGAGGGGCGGUCGCUGCGCUGCAGCAACUCAGUGACACGCCCGUGUCUGGUUGGGUGCGGUACGUUUUGGAAAUGAAAGCACUAGGUCUCUGACUUUCUCAACUUCCUGCCUAAUUUUACCUUUUUCCCCUUAAGUUUCUCCACUUCCCUCCCAAGCAUGGCUGUGCAGCCCCUUCUGGACUACCUUCCAAGGGGCUUCACCCUCGUACUCCUCUUUCUUCGGUCUCUCCUGUUACUUUUUAGCGUCUCCCCUCCGCAGUCCUUAACUAAAUCGUCCCGCACGGCCAAGGGUGAUAAUUGGAAGCAGGUAGGGUAAAAAGGCUAGAAUUCUGGAGUCCGUUUGCAUGACGUUCAGAUUCCAACGCAAUCCUUGAGCUAUUUACUCAACUUUAGUUUUCUUGUCUAUAAAAAGUUAAUUGUAACAUCUACUUCCUUACCCCGACGCCAGGCAGAUUUUACGGUGAAGCAAAUGAGCUUUAAAUUAAACUUGCCCAGAACUCUGAGAUUGUAGUAUUCUAGGUGGGGAGGUUGAAACCAGGAAGAAUUUCUUAUAAGUGAAAAGAUCUCUUAAUUUUGUUAUUUAUCUUUUCAUUUCUUAAUAAAUAUUCAUCAUCGUGCUUCAUUUUGUGUUUAUAAUUUUAUAUUUUUUUCUAAGACGGCCCUUUAAAAGUUUCAGUCCCUACAAAACUUGGAUCCACACCUGUAUACCCCUGGAAUUGUUUUAAUAAUUAGGUAAAAUAAUAACUGGGAAACUGUUAAUACAGGGGAUUGGGCCCAAUAAAUGUUCAAUAAAUGUGAGCUGUAAUUAAAGACCAAUAAAAUAGCCCUCAAGGCAAAAAGAUGAAACCACAAAGAGAUUCUAUAAUACAUUCUAUAGUAGUUAACACCACGGAAAACUGGAAAAUAAAUCGAAAUGGGAGAUUUUUACAUAUCACUUUUAGCCUGUGGAAGAUUCACAAUAAAGUAACAGCAAAAAAUAAAGCAGAUCAAAAUUGAUAAAAUUGACUUCUUUUAUAUUGUGUUCCAAGUCAAAAAUAAAUUUUUGAUUUCCAAAAAAUAGAAUUUGAAAAUACCUAGCUACAGUACGUGAAAUUUGAAAAUAUCAAAAAGUUAAUCACAAACUCUAAUCUCUUGGAAC
ensembl:lncRNA